rnacentral:sRNA from 1 species
AUGAGUAUUCUUCAACUGUUUGCAGCAAGUUUAAAGUUUUCGGAACUCAUGUUCUCGUAGGCCAUCUCAUAUGCUCUGGAUUAGACAUCAUCUGUAUUUGGAUCCGAGCCAAUUCAGCAGGUGACAUACCACUCACAUGCUCUGAGAGGUGAACAUUAUCAGAUUCGAAUCUGAGCAAUCCCAGCACGUAAAAACCGAAACUUGAGACAAUUCUCGAUGAUGGGAAAAGAGAACACAAAUGUAGGUUUGUUCCUUGCCUUCAUAGCACUGUCAUUGAAACGCCGCAGUAGAACCCUAGCCUGGUUCGCAUCAGCUCAACAUUCUCAACCACCUGGGUUUUAAUUUCUUUCUUUGGAACAAGACUGGGCGGUGCUCUUUGUGGAGAAGGCUCUGAAUACAUAAGAGUGUAAUGCUGAUCCCAAAGUAUAUGGUUUGUUUGACGAAGAGAGAAAACAGUGUCUUUGAAAACAAUAGGAAGUUGUGUAAAAGAAAUGGAGAUUUUUUAGGUUCAUAUAACCUAAAGCCCAGAAACAGAGAUUUUUUAUUUCAUUUUUUAUUAUAGAAUUUCUCUGUCUUUUUUUUUUCAGUUCACUGUUUAUGACAUCAUUUCAACGAAUUCAUAACUAUAUGUAAAAAUGUAAACUAUCCUUUUUUUGUAAAUGGAAACUAUCCUUCUUUUGGUAAAA